rnacentral:lncRNA from 1 species
AAACAUUAAGAUCAAACAUGAUAACAAUUAGACACAGUAAAGUCGAACAAACAUGCAUCCGUAUAAAUGAGUAGGAUUUGGUAUUCUAAUAACUUUCCAUUUGUUGUGAAGCUAACUCUCUGAAUUGUCAUAAUAUAGUACAUUAUUCAUAAGCCAAAAAUGCCACCAACAUCAAGAAUGCCUUCAAUCGAUAUUGUGUUUCAAGAACUUAUUGAUUGCAAAGUGGAUAAAACUUGGACAGAAAGGAAAGAAGCAGACAGAUAUCUUAAAGACUCUGAAGGACAAGAUGAGAAACAUCAGGCAGGUAAGAAGGGGGAAUUGCUCUCAAAUAAAACUGUGCAGGCAAGAAAACACGAAGAUAAUCAAGUGAAAACCAUAACUUCACCAAAUCCAAGGAAUGGUUUAGCAAGCUUAAGAAGAAACAGUUUUCUUUGAAUCAAACCAUACUCAAUACAAAAAUUUUCACACAAAAAAAAGAAUCCAGAAAUGGAACACAUUCAAAAGAUUUCUCUAACGGUAUAAAACAAGUUGAUCUUUCCAUACAUCGGAGCUCUUCUACCUCUAUAAUGAUCACGUAGAGCAGCAAGAACAAAAUGCCAUUUAAAAUGCAUUGUCAAUACAAUAUCAUCUAGAGAAAUGAGGCUAGACAGUAUCACUCAAUCAUCCAAGCAGGAGAAACCAAUCAAACUGCUACUUACGGGAGGGGAGGGAUGUCAUAUAGAACCUCAUCCAUGCCAUAUCACCUUUAGCACAAAGCUCUAAACAACAAAGAAAACAACUCAAUCUAAGAGCCAACCUGUUUUUGACGGAAUUUACGUUAGAUUUCAUAUGUAACUUACCCAGAUCCAAUUACCUCACGGAAUUUAAUCCAAACAAUAGAAGACGACGAGCAUAAAGACUUAAAUAAACUCACGUUGAAGCAAAAGAUAACCAACAAAUCCUACAUCAACUGGAUACAACAAAACUAUAACUCAAACUAGCAGAAAUUGCAGCUGAAGCUACUCAGAAGCGCAACAAACUGGACAGAAACAUGUUAAGGAACUGAACUUGCAAUAUCUCUUUAUUACAACUUUAGGUCACAACCCAUGAAUCAAAUUCUCAGUCAACAACACUCCAAAUCGGUCUCCUUUUGUAUUCAUAUUUCCAUAAAAAAAACAGCAGAACCACUCAAACAAACAUGUUCAAACUCAGAAAACCAACUCAAAGCUCAACCAAACAUCCCAAAAUUGUUCAGUGAUGUUAAUUUUUACAUCUCAGGUAUCCAGAAAUCGAUUCAAACAAACAAGACAUUUCAGCUCACACAAAAUAGAAAAAUAGGGGAGUUUGGAAGUGAACCUAAAAAUGAACUUUCAAUUAAUGCAAUUUAACAAUUACAACGAUUCUCAAAGGAAGCGAGUCCAAACAGAGAUUGCAAUGAACUCACGAAUCAGCAGCUAAACGAACAGCGUUGGAGCAACUCCAAAUGAACAACACUCAGUCGACUUCCAUUAACUCAAAAUUAAAUCCAGAAAAUGAACUCAGCCUUCGAGCUCAAUCCAAACUCAUCAUGAAAAAUGAAAAUUUCUGAACUUCAAGAUGAAGAGAACAAAGGGGCUCAGAUUAAAAAAACGAAAAUGAUUUUUUUUGUAUUUUUCUAUUGUAACUAGAAUUAAACUAAGAUGGUUUCAAAAUGAAUCAAAAAGAAAAAGAUGCUUUCUUAGAACCCUAUUUCCCAAGUGACCUCUGCUUCUCCAAAAGAAAAUCCCUCAGAAUCAUCCCCCUUUACAAAAUCGGAUUCGGUCCUUUUUGAAAACGAGCACCUGAUGAAUGUGGGGCUCGGAUUGAAUGAAAUCAAUCCAACGCCUCACACUCAUCCAAUGAUUGUCCUCCAGAACCUUCCAAUCACGCGAUAUAGUUCAAAAUUGGGCGAGUGAAGGGGUNNNNNNNNNNNNNNNNNNNNNNNNNUGAAUCUCCUUCCCAAAUUCAUUUUCUUUUUCUUUUUUUCUCUUUUUUCUUUUUCUUUAAUUAAUAAAAUCCUAGAAUUAACUCCUAAAUUAAUCUAAGUUGUAAAAUUAAACUAAUUGCCUAGUCACAAUAAUUAUAAAAUUACUUAGUCCUAAAUUAAAGGAAAAAAUCAAUAGACUAAAAUUAAAAGGUGUAAAAUGAGCUAUUUUAUGAUUUUCGUUUUUAAUAAAAGAAAUAAUUGCUAAUUAAUUCCAAAAAUAUAAAAUCAAACCUAAUUGUGAUGCAUGGUAUUUUUGGAUUUUCAUGAUUUUUUUAAUAAAAAUGAACAUGCACAGAAAAUGCAAAUAAUUAGCACGAAUUUCACAAAAUCCUAUAAAAUUGUAAAAAAUAGAAAAAAUUAUUUUUCUUGUAUUUUAUGGGAGUAAUUCACAUAGGGCAAAAAUCACAUGCUCACAGCUGCCCCUCUUUGCUCGGAAACGCGAAGAGUUUUCAUGCAAAGAUAAAGUUAGCGGAUACGAGCGAAUUUUGCCCGUUUGAAUACUCCGUGUGAAGCAUCUUUUGAAUUAUUUUCAUUCCUGCUUUUCUUUGCUUGGUUCUUAUUUUUUUCUUUUAUUCUCUCAUUUUCCCUCUCUUUUCUUUUUCUUUUCCUUUUUUUAUCCUUUUCUUUUCUCUCUUUUCGUUCUUUUCUUUCUCUUUUUCUCUUAUCUUUUCCCCUUUUCCUUCUUUAUUUACCUUUUGUAUCCGUUCUUUUGAACUUUACUACUGAUUCUAAAAGAGGGGUAUAAAAAAAAAUAAACAAGGCUCAAAGAGGUAACAAAGGGUAAAGUGUUUAGAUAGGAGAAUAAAAUGCCUUCGUCAUUCCAAUCUUCAAAACAUGCCAAGUACAAACAAACACAAUUUAAACCAAAGAAAUCAUACAUAAUGUCUUUUGACUGCAUCAGAAUUGAUAUCCAUAUCUACACAUUUGCCUUCUACAUCUAUUAAAUACAAAGCACCAACAAACAACACUUUCGUUACGAUGAACGGCCCCUGCCAAUUUGGGGCGAACUUGCCUUUUGAUUCAGCUUGAUGUGGGGGGAUGCGCUUCAAUACUUGUUGACCUAGUUCAAAUUUCCAGGGACACACCUUUUUAUUGUAUGCUUUUGCCAUUAUCUUUUGAUACAGCUGGCCAUGACACAGUGCUGCCAAUCUCUUCUCAUCAAUCAAACUUAAUUGCUCCAGACGGGUUUUGACCCACUCAUCAUCAUCAGUCUCAGCUUCAGAAACAAUCCGAAGGGAUGGAAUUUCAACUUCCGUAGGUAUCACUGCUUCUAUGCCAUAUACCAACAAAUAGGGAGUUGCACUUACUGAAGUGCGAACAGUAGUGCGACAACCCAACAAUGCAAAGGGUAACUUUUCAUGCCAUUUCCUGGAACCCUGCACCAUUUUCCGAAGUAUCUUCUUUAUGUUCUUGUUGGCUGCCUCAACUGCUCCAUUCGCCGUCGGGCGGUAUGGAGUGGAAUUGCGAUGCAUAAUCUUAAACUAUUGACACAGUUCUUUCAUCAGAUGACUAUUAAGAUUAGCACCAUUAUAUGUGAUGUGAGAUUACGAACCCACAAAUGAUAUUUGAGUGAACAAAAUCGACCACUACCUUCUUGGUCACAAAUUUGAAAGUUUUAGCUUCAACCCACUUAGUGAAAUAGUCAAUGGCCACCAGAAUGAACCUGUGUCCAUUGGAUACUGCUGGCUUAAUCGGUUCGAUGCCGUCCAUACCCCAAACAACAAAGGGCCAUGGUAUGGACAUUGUGUGCAAUUCAGAUGGCGAAGAAUGAAUCAAGUCUCCGUGUACCUAGCAUUGAUGACACUUGCGCACAAAACUGAUACAAUCUUGCUCCAUGGUAAGCCAAUAAUAACCUGCUCGAUGAAUUUUCUUUGCCAGAACAUAUCCACUCAUAUGCGGUCCGUAGACUCCAGAAUGUAUUUCACAGUCGUGGCUUGUCUAGCAUCUGUACAUCUUAACAAUCCAAGAUCUGGAGUUCUUUUGUACAAAACUCCUCCACUGAAGAAAAAUCCACUUGCCAAACGUUGAAUUGUUCUCUUUUGAUCCCUUGUGGCUUGUACCGAAUAUAUCCCCGACCUGAUGUACUCCCUGAUAUCGUGGAACCAAGGUUCACCAUCAAGUUCUUCUUCCACCAUGUUACAGUAAGCAUACUGAUCGCAAACCUAAAUAUGCAAAGGGUCAACAUAAGCCUUAUCUGGAUGAUGUAACAUCGAUGCCAGAGUAGCCAAAGCGUCAGCAACCUCAUUGUGGAUCCUAGGGAUAUGCCUGAACUCCACUGAUCUGAACUACUGGCAGAGAUCCUGCAGACAUUGUCUAUACGGUAUGAGUUUCAAAUAUCGGGUCUCACAUUCUACCUAAAUCUGGUGCACUAACAGAUCUAAAUCUCCCCAAACCAACACUUCUUGGACUCCCAUGUCCACAGCUAACCUUAAACCCAAAAAGCACGCUUUGUACUCAUCCAUGUUGUUGGUAUAAUAGAAACGAAGCUGAGCAGUGACAGGAUAAUGGUGCCCUAUUUUAGAGAUGAGUACAACUCCUAUUCCAAUACCUUUCAUGUUAGCAGCCCCAUCAAAGAAGAGUUUCCAACUGGGAUUUUCAUCCUUCUCGACCUCAUCAAUAUGUAUUACCUCUUCAUCAGGAGAGAAAGUUCUCAAAGGUUCAUAUUCUUCAUCCUCCGGGUUCUCGACCAAGUGGUCGACCAAAGCUUGGGCUUUCAUCGCCGUCCGAGUCACAUAGAUAAUCUCAAACUCUGUGAGCAAAAUCUGCCACUUUGCAAGUCUUCCUUUUGGCAUAGGCUUCUGAAAGAUAUACUUCAGAGGAUCCAGGCGAGAAAUGAGGUAAGUGGUGCAGGACGACAAAUAAUGCUUUAACUUCUGUGCUACCCAAGUCAGGGCGCAACAUGUCCUCUCAAGGGGAGUAUACCUAACCUCAUAAGACGUGAACUUCUUGCUAAGAUAAUAGAUGACUUUCUCUUUCCUGCUAGUGAUGUCAUGCUAACCCAAUACACAUCCAAAUGAAUUAUCCAGGACUGUCAAAUAAUUAAUCAAAGGUCUCCUUGGUUCUGGUGGGACCAACACAGGUAGAUUCAACAAAUACUCUUUGAUCUUAUCGAAAGCUUCCUGGCACUCAUCAGUCCAUUUGACCGCAUCAUCCUUCUUUAGUAACUUGAAGAUGGGCUCACAAGUUGUCGUGAGCUGAGAAAUAAACAUGCUGAUGUACUUUAGCCUCCCUAAUAGACUCAUCACCUCGGUCUUGUUCUUUGGUGGUGGUAAUUCCUAGAUAGCCUUGAUUUUUGAAGGAUCUAACUCAAUGCCUCGCCGGCUAACUAUGAACUCCAACAGUUUCCUAGAUGGAACACCGAAUGCACACUUUUCAGGGUUGAGUUUAAGAUUGUACCUGCGGAGCCUCUGCAAAAACUUUCCAAAAUCUCUGACGCGGUCAGACUGCUUCCUGGACUUUAUGAUCACAUCAUCCACGUAAACCCCGAUCUCCUUGUGUAUAAUGUCAUGGAAUAUGGUUGUCAUUGACCUUAUGUAAGUUGCCCCAGCAUUUUUCAAACCAAAAGGCAUGACCUAGUAGCAGUGUAUUCCCCACGGCGUGAUGAAUGCCGUCUUCUCCGUAUCUUCAUCAUCCAUUAAAAUCUGAUGAUACCCCGCAUAGCAGUCCAAAAAAUACCCAAUCUCAUGCUUGGCACAAUUAUCAAUCAAAAUGUGGAUGUUCGACAGUGGGAAGUUGUCCUUUGGAUUUGCGUUGUUGAUAUCACGGUAGUCAACACACACUCUGGUCUUGCCAUCUUUCUUUGGCACAGGCACAACAUUGGCUAACCACGUGGGAUACCGCGUGACUCGAAUGACCUUUGCAUUAAGCUGCUUUGUGACUUCCUCUUUAAUCUUCAUACUCAUGUUAGUUUUGAACUUUCUCAACUUCUGUUUAACGGGAAGGAAUGCUGGAUCAAUUGGAAAUUUCUGGACCACCAAAUCGGUACUCAAGCCUGGUAUGUCAUCAUACGACCAUGCAAAAAUAUCAUUAUAUUCAAACAAUACUUUAAUUAUUUCUUAUCUGAUUUGUGGUUCAAGAUGGACACUUAUCUUAGUUUCUCUGACAUUAUCUAGGUCCCCUAAAUUGAUUGCUUCCGUAUCAGUCAGGUUAGGCUUGGGUUUUUCUUCAAAAUGAUUUAGUCCCUUACUAAUCUCUUCAAAGGCCUCAUCCUCAUCAUAUUCUGAUUCAUCAUCACACUCUAGUUCUUGGAUUAAUAUUUCGGAAUUAUAUUGACUUUUAAGACUUGGCCAAAGAUUCCUCAUGCAUGUCAUGUCAUUGAAACCAUCAUAAAAAGAACUGUACAGAGAAGAAAAGAAAACAAAAAUAAAACUAUCAGAAAUGAUGGAAAAAGGAAAUUGCAUUUCAUUGAAAAUAAAAGACAACAGGGUUUGUACAUCAACAAGCGGAAAAUAAAAAAUCUGGGUCAUAAUCCUGGAAUGACCCAAAUAGAAAGGAAAACAAAACAAACUACCAAGACUCCUUCUAAGUAGGGAGAAGAGUAGCCUUCCAAUUGUUAAGCUUUACAUUCAGCCCGACGAACUGCACGUCUGCUUUGCUAGAACCUUCUCCAACUUCUACCAUGUUCACAUUAUCAAACAACCUCUAGAACCUUUCAAUAAACUCCUAAUCAAUGUCAACCACAGAACUUGGAACUGUCAUCACUGGGUGUUUCGUGGCACCGGGCUUGACAAAAGAUCUGGAGAGAUGCAAAAUAGGCUUUGGAAGUGCACACACCUUCUGUUUCAACCUUUUAGCCCUUUUCACAUCUGCCGGUGUAGGUGGAAUCCAAGACCGAACGUACCCAACUUUUUAGGGAGGGACACUGGCUGUAUGGUACCUUGCAGGGAUGCACCAGACCUUUACCUGGCAUAAAACCGUUUUUCAACAUUUUAAAUGCCACCAUGACGGAUGUAUAGGCUAUCUUUGGAGUUGGAACACAUUUCCCUUCUGGAACCUUCUCGACCGGCACUAUUUCAAAAACUUGAUAGACCUAGGGCCCUUUGUCAUCUUCGGCCUCAAUGAACUGGACAGAGGCAUCACUGUGAGCACAUAAAUUUUCCUCACCAUACACGGCGAUCUCCUGUCUAUCCGACUCGAACUUGACCAUCUGGUGCAGAGUGGAUGGGACUGCUUUGGCAGCAUGAAUCCAAUGUCGACCUAACAACAAAUUGCAAGAGAUGGCUACGUCCAGUACCUGGAACUCCAUAGUGAAUUCCACCGGUCCUAUUGCCAAUCCAUGCACUAUAUCACCAACCGAGUCUUUCCCCCCACCAUCAAAACCUCGAACGCAUAUGCUAUUUUUGUGAAUCCUCUCAUCAUCAACUUUCAACUUGUUCAGAGUAGAAAGAGGGCAGAUGUUUGCACUGGAACCUUUGUCAACUAAUACCCUGGUGACCACAGAAUCUUCACAUUUCACCGUCAGAUAGAGAGCUUUAUUGUGUUCAAUACCUUCCACAUGCAACGCGUCAUCAGAGGAGGUGACCAUGUUCACCUUAAAUAUUUUGUUGGCGAUCUUUUCCAGAUGGUUCACUAAAAUUUUGUUGGGGACAUGAGCCUCAUUCAAAAUUUUCAUUAGGGCCCGACAAUGCUCAUUUGAAUUGAUCAUCAAUGAUAACAAGGAAAUCUGAGCAGGCGUCUUUCUCAACUGCUCCACAAUGGAAUAAUCUUGUACCUUCAUUUUUCUUAGAAACUCCUCUGCAUCUUCUUCAGUGACCACUUUCUUCACUAGAACUGGGUUAUCUCAAGAUGUUUUAGCUUUCCUUAACUCUUCCGGGGCAAAGCAUAUCCCCGAACGAGUUAAUCCCUGGGCCUUCCUUUCCCUUAUAGGUCACUACCGCCCGUUCAUAGUUCUAUGGGAUAACCUUGCUGUUGAUUACUGGAAACUGGGUUACAGGCUUGAUGAUGACAGGAUCCGUACAGGAACCCUCUACAAUUAUCAUAGGCUUAUUUUCCAACCCUGGCAUGACCACUUUUGACUUUUCUUACUUUGCUAUAACAUCAUUUGGGGAUAUUUUCUUAACUACCACAAAUGGCUCACUGUUUGUCGUGCUCAACUUGUUCACUGAUCCUUCAACCGUUGGUUUUUUGACUGGCUUGACCUCAUUGGACCAAAUCAUCAUGACGGUCUGUGAAGGCUUCUUGGGCUCCCCCCCUUGUGUACUAUCUCAAUCGUGUUUGUUUCCUCAUGGGUUGACAAUGGGUUCUGGUUGAUGUUGGGUGCCUCUGGAGUUUGGACUUCAAUCUGAUUUAUAUUAAUGAGCUCCUAGAUGGCAUUUUUCAAGUGCUAACACUUCUCUAUAUCAUGCCUCGGAAUACCAGAACAAUAUUCAAAGCUCACGGAAUAAUCAAGAUUCUUUGGAGGAGGGUUUGGCAAUUUCGACUCAAUUGGCCUCAGCAUAUCCAACUGCAUCAAUCUAUGGAAUAAACUGGUAUAAGACUCCCCCAACAGGGUAAAAGUUUUCUUUCACUGCAACCUCUCAUUUUUGAAUGCUGGAUUGGGUCGGAAACCUGGGCCGACAGGGUUUCAGUAGGCUCGUGGGGGUGAAAAAGCAUUUUGUAGAGUUGGGUAGGUGUUUUGUAGGGCUGGGGCACGCCAUUGUGAGUAGGAAGAAGGUUGAGUAUAUGCCUAGGCAUGGUGGAAAGAAAUCUGAGGGUCAGGUGAUAGGAAGUAAUGCUGGGGUAGAUUAUACGGGGUUUGGGUGUAGGUUUGGAUAUAGGGUCGAGGCUGGGUAUAAUGGUGUGAUGGGACCCUUGGUCAAAACCAUGGUUCUGAAUCAACUGUUGCCACAUCUUCUUUCUUCUUCUUUCCGAUCACUCCUCCAGUGCCAUUCUGAAUGGCUUGGGUAAUUGCCUUGAUGGACGAGUAGCCCAUGAUUUUGCUUGAUUUAAGCCCUUCUUCCACCAUGCCACCCAUAUUCACUACCUCGUUGAAAGACUUGCCUAUGGUCGAUAUCAGAUGACCAAAAUAAGUAGGCUCCAGAGCCUGCAGAAAGUACUCCACCAUUUCGCUCUCCUCCAUUGGGGGGUUAACUUUUGCUGCUUGUUCUCUCCAGCAAAAACCGUAUUCCAUGAAACAUUCACUAGGCUUCUUCUUGAUCUUAGUCAAAGACAAAUGAUCUGGAAUAAUCUUGAUGUUGUAUUGGAAAUGACGAGCGAAUGCUUGGGCCAAAUCAUCCCAGGUAUACCAUCUGCCGUGAUCCUGACGAGUGUACCACUCCAAUGUCUUGCCACUCAGACUUUGGCUAAAGUACACCAUCAACAACUCAUCUUUCCCACCAGCUCCUCUCAUUUUACUAUAGAAUCCCCUCAAAUGGGCCACCGAGUCUCCGUGCUUGUCAUAUAGAUCAAAUUUAGGCAUCUUGAAUCCCACCGGCAACUGAACAUCGAGAAAUAGACACAAAUCCUUAUAGGCUACUCUCACCUGGCCUCCCAAUCCCUGCAUGUUUCUGAAUGUCUGUUCCAAGCUUCUAACCUUCCUGAACAUAUCCUCUUGUUUUGGGGUUUUAAAUGGUUUCUUAGUCUCAACUGGGAGGCCGAAGCGAGGAGUGUAGGAGUAAUAUUUUGGGGCCUUGAAAGUAGGCUCUGGGGGAUAGUAUUGGUUAUCUUGGGUCUAGAAUAAGGGCAUACUAGAGGAUCGAUGGAGUGUAGUGGGUGGGGGUGCCAUGAAAACAGGGGUGGUUGGUGGAGGGGGAGGGGGUAUGGGAUUGGUUUAGCUGGUGGUGCUUGUGUAGUUUGGAAUGUGGUGCCUUGGUAGUAGUGGUAAUGGGGAAAGCCGGGAGAUGAAUCAAUAGUGGGAGGUUCUUGGGACUGAGCCAGUGGCGGGACGAAAUCAGGGUUGGCAGGGUAUGAUGGUGGUGGAUGUCCUUUCAUCCAUGCCUGGUACAUCUCUGCCAUUUGAUGUUUCAACUUAUGUAUCCCCUCUUUCAGAUUAACAUCAGACUCUUCCACAUCUCUUGACGGAUCAUUAACACUUGCAUCCAGUUUUUGGCCAGCCAUGAUCAAGUUGUCUUUGGACCUGGUAUUGUAUGGGUGAGUUGCCAGAAUGCCAAAUAGACUAACAACCUGCCGCUCUUGAUGACAACAAGCAAAACUCGUUAGAUAUUAGAGCUUAAUAGAUAGGCAACUGCACGUUGGGGAUGUAAUGCACCUAAGCAGUUAACCAUUUCUAUUAUGCAUUUGAACGGCCGCUUGCAUCAUCACGACUUUCACUAAUUUUCAUUUUGCAAUUUCUCUCUCUUCUUAUUCCUGCUUUUCUUUGCUUAAUUCUUGUCUUUGUUCACUUAUUUUCACUCUCUUGUUCUGCCAUUAUUUCCCUCCCACAAUUCUCUUGUUUUCUCUUUUUUUUCCUCUCAUUUCACGGUUAUGAUCGAAUCCUAUGGGGAUUGUCUACGUAUCAUGAUGCCCCAUGAAUCAGACCAAACGUAGUUCUGGAAAUAAGUGUAAAAUAAAUAAAUAAAAAACAAUUUGGGGUUUUCAAAUUUUUCAUAAAAUAAAAACGUCUUGAUUACAACGACUCAUCCUACAGAAUUUAAUUAUAAAAACUAACAGACUCGAAAAGGGGGACUAACAAACUCCAACAUAAAGAUGAAAAUACAGAUUUGAAAACAGACUAACAGACUCCAACAAAGAAAAUGAAAAUACAGAUUCGAAUGAAAAUCAUGAAUACAUCAAUGCCUCAACUGCUCCAGGGGCCCGUGAGACAUCAGUCGGUUUUGCCACGGGCCUAUGCACAAGAUCCCCUUGAAGACGCUCCAGGUCACUCAUUAUUUGGCGAACAAAAUUCAUUACCGCAGCAAAUAAGGUGGUUCUAGUCAUGCCUUCACAUUCAUGACACUUCAUGACGAUGUAGUCAGCAAUUGCUCUAACCCUCUCCCUGAUGAUACCCUUUUCUUGUAGCAACUGUCCAAUCUACUGAGACCAGGCCCCUAAAACUUGUUCAGUUGUAUGAUUUUGUUCUUAAAGCUACUGCAGGUCUUUUUCUAACUGCGACAUCAGUGCAUAACAAUGUUCUCUUUCUGCUUUGAAAUCCCUUCCCUUCUUAGUCAUUUCAUUCUCAAGGACAAUGAUAUUUUUAUUCAACCCCACGAUUCCAUUGUCAUAUUUCUCUUUUAACUGUUUGACCAAGCGUGCUUGUUCCUCCGCAUUUUUAGCCAAUUUUGUUCGAGCUCUUGCCAGUUCACCUUCGGCCUUGUUCAGAUCAAAACCAUAUUCACCCACUUUCUGCCUAUGGUUACUUAUAAGCUUUUCAUCUUUUGCACUUCUAGCAGGGUUUUCGGUUGCUAUUUUCAUUUCCUGAAUUUGGGCUCGGAGGGCAUCAUUUUUUUUGGCUAGCUUUUUCUUUUCACCCUCAACCGCAACAGCUUGCAAAUCAUUCUCAAAUUAUAGAUCUCUAACUUUCUUUUCCAGCUUGCUUAUGGUGGCCCUAUACUCAUUUUUUUGGCCAACCAAUCCCAUUAUUCCUGUGACGCCUCGACAAAUUCUUGAAGAUGGGGUCUUUUGGCUGGUCUUCCAAACUCAACACUUCUUUUGUACCAUGUGAGGUAACCGAGCGAGACUUCACCCUUAGAUAGAUCACGCACUUGGGUGUUUGCUGUAAAGUAUUGACACUCACUCCAGAUCUGGCGAACAACCGCUUCAUGAAAUUGACCAUCAGAACUGAUCUCGAUUACCUGAGUACUAAGGUCUUCAUCUUUUAGGACUAUUUGACAUCUCCCCAGCUGUCUCAAAACCCGACACGGGGCAUAAGAUUGUAUACUUCUGAGACCCAUCAAGAGGAAGUGAGGACCGGUAGCAGGCAUGUAUAUGAUUUCAUCAGCAGGAAGCCAACCCAACUUCCAUGCUAUUUGAUUGGCAGUGACGGAGCGGAGGCAAGAUAUCCAUUUUGCGACCCCUUCUGGCAUGUUGAACCCGUCGACCCUUGUAUAAAACUUCUAUAUGCAGCUUUCUCCCGUUGAUCCAUGGUUCAUGUACUGGGGACGAUGACAUAGAUGCUUAGUCAUCGAUAUUUGUAGCAACAAGUUACACCCUUCGAAAAAAGUCUGCUCCGUCUUUACAGGCUGUGAGAGCUCAAAAUAUUUCGGACACUAUCAUGGGUGCGAGGGUGCUUUUGGCCUGGGUAAGCAAAGUGUUGACAACCCCGACUACAUGUACAUCGAUAUUUUCGUCCUUCCUGGGAAACACUAAAAGACCCAAAAAUACUACCAUGAAGGCGAAUCAUCUAUGCUCUUCCCAUUUUAGUCGAUUUCCUUUGCUGCUAAUUUUGCUCUCCGGGUUUUCAAAUCCCCAUAUGUGUCCGUACCACUGAUAUAUGAACUAUGGAGUAGAAAACCCAACUGCCAAAUCUGCAUAUUUGACCCCCUGCUUAUUUUUAGCAAAUGAAGAAACUUGUGAAGGGUGACGGCUCUCGGGGCAACCAGAUAUUUAUGUCUCAAAGCUUCGGCACUCCCAACAUAACCAGCUAUCUCUUCUAAAGUGGGUGUGAGUUCAAAGUCCGAGAAAUGAAACACGUUGUGUGCUGGGUCCCAAAAUGUAACCAAUGCUUUUAUUAUGUCUCCUCUAGGCCUGAUCUUCAAUAACCCAGUGAGACCCCCCAAGUACUGGUUGACCACAUCUCAUCCUGAUUUUCCCAGAUCUUCCUACCACAUGUACAGUUCCAAAGGAAUCUUGGUCAUGACCUUCAUUGACAAGUUUUGACUCGUGCUCAUUCUGCACAUUUAGGUUAGGGUGAUUGGCUUACAGACAAAGUGAAUCUUAUUUGAAAAACCGACAAAAGUUUUUUUUGCAAAUAUCAAGAAAUUAGGGCUACUUUUGCGAAUACGGCCCUCCAACACUUUGAAAUGGAAGUUUUUAGGGCUGUGCUCGCUAAGUGGCUAAAAUUUGUCAAAAACACAGUCAACGGAUAUUCUUGCAAAAACAGCCCUCUGGCGUUCCAUUGGGACAUUCAGCUAUUUAGACAAGAACGACAUCACCCACUUUAUUUACUACAAAAUGAUGACGCUUCAUUUAUUUUUUCCAAAUUUUUUCAAAAAGCGGGGCUGGACCCGAUGAGGGUUCCCUACGUAUCCCACAUCCGAUAAGAAUCAAAUCCGCGUAGUUUGGCCAGUUUUGACACAACUGAAAACAUAAAAACACUUUGAAAUGAUUUUUCUACUCUUUUUCUCUUUUUUUUUUCAAAAAUUUUGGUGGAGUUUCGGGAUGUUUUGGAUACCGGAUUUUGGGCAACAGAUGAAAUUUUCUCUCAUUUUCCGCACUUGGUCUCUCUUUUUUUCUUUUCUCUGAAAAAACAUAUUUUUUUCACUUAACCAGAAGCUGGUCAGCAUGCAAUCCGAAAUAAAUUAAAUGCAUAAGUAGCACACAAAAAUGCAUCAGGUUGGUUUUUUAUUUUCGGGUACGCCUGUCCUAGACGGACCCAACCCCUGUGUUGAGUCCCCAAAGUCAAAUGCAUAUGAUUCAAACAAGCGUUCCUACUAGGGAUCCGGUAUGAGGCUAAGUUAUUCUAGGUUCAAAACCUGAGUAUGUUGUUCUAGACUUGUGUACCUGAGCGGACAACUCGAGCCGAGGGGGGCUACGUACCGGGAACCAAAAGGCCAUCCGGCUUUGUAACUUGUCCGAGCCUCUUCUUAAUUUAAGGUAUGACACUAAUAGAAGAGGAAUCAUGCCAGCGUGCACAUCCCCGAAGAUGAGAAGAGAAGGGUUUCGUAGCAGUUUAUAUACAGUUCAAAUAGUAUCAAAACGGUAAAAAGUAACAUUUAGCACAUUAGGCCCAAACAUGUAAUACAACCGGAUAGUAAAUAAAAGUCAAAUAUAAUAAUUAUUCUAAGCUCGAAUUCUUGAAUCCUGAACUAGAGAUUCUGGGUUGUUAUCCCUAGCAGAGUCGCCAGAGCUGUAACACCUCCUUUUUAACUAACCCGCAGGGGUAUUUGGGAGUUUUUUCAAUUUAAGUGAUAAUCUAAAGGAGAUUAUUAUUUAAGAUCAGAGUCGCCAUUUGGGAUAAUUUAUGGUGUCACAAGUCACCAGUUUAAAUCCUAAAUCAAGGAAAAAUUGACUCAGUUUUACAGUCCGCGAAACACAUAAAUCUGGGUAAAAAAUUCUAUUAACCCGGGAGAAGGUGUUAGGCAUUCCUGGGUUCCGUAAUUUUAGCACGGUCGCUCAACUGUUAUCAUUGGCCUAUUUAUUUGAUUUAAAAAAACAUCUUCGAAUCCUAUGUGCAUUUUAUUCUUUUUAAACCGCUUUUAAUAAAUUAGUAUUACUUAUUGCGAAUCAUGUCACGAGAAUCAUACCCACGAUCUACAACAUGCUUAUUUUAUUAACAAGAUUAAAUGUGGCAGGGUCACAUAAAUGUACCCCCGAAUUUUAGAAAUUAAGCAUCACAACUACGUCACGGGAACCAUACCCGUAGCUGUGAUAAUUAUCUAAUCAAAUGCACCUAAAGCAAACUACGAGAGUGCAAAAGCAAUUUCUGAACUAAUUUUAUGAGGGUCAUAUGUUAUGGAUUUUAUUUGUGUAUGGAGCACCUCAAAUUAUUUUAAUAGAAAAGUUUGUAUAUUUUAUCACAACCACGUCACGGGAACCGUACUCGUAGUUGUAAUAAUUCAAUUGCGCGCCUAAAGAAAACUACGAGAUUCAUUUUAGUAACUAAGUUAUAAAAUAUGAGGGCCAUAGAUUAUAUAAUUCAAAUGUAUGAAUGACACGCCUCAAAACUAUUCAACUAAAUGAAUUAUGGAUGUUCAUAUUAAAACUAAUUUGAAAUUAGGUGUCACAACUACGUCACGGGAACCGUACCCGCAGUUGUGAUAAUUUAAUUAUGUGCCUAAAGCAUACUACGAUGUUCUUAAAUCUAAGUGAGCCACAAUCCCGGGAAUAAACACUCACGCCGUUCAAUGAAGCUAGAUGAAUAAGCAUCCAAAUAAAACAACAGAACACCAAGCUAAAUUAAUCUAAAUAUUAGGAGAAAACAUUAAGAUCAAAUAUGAUAACAAUUAGACACAGCAAAGUCGAACAAACAUGCAUUCGUAUAAAUGUGUAGGAUUUGGUAUUCUAGUAAUUUUCCAUUUGUUGUGAAGCUAACUCUCUGAAUUGUCAUAAGAAUUGCAGCAAAUGUAGUACAUUAUUCAUAAGCCAAAAAUGCCACCAACAUCAAGAAUGCCUUCAAUCGAUAUUGUAUUUCAAGAACUUAUUGAUUGCAAAGUGGAUAAAACUUGGACAGAAAGGAAAGAAGCAAACAAAUAUCUUAAAGACUCUGAAGGACAAGAUGAGAAACAUCAGGCAGGUAAGAAGGGGAAAUUGCUCUCAAAUAAAACUGUGCAGGCAAGAAAACACAAAGAUAAUCAAGUGAAAAUCAUAACUUCACCAAAUCCAAGGAAUGGUUCAGCAAGUUUAAGAAGAAACAGUUUUCUCUGAACAAACCAUACUCAAUACAAAUAUUUCCACACAAAAAAAGAAUCUAGAAAUGGAACACCUUCAAAAGAUUUCUCUAAUGAUAUAAAAUAAGUUGCUCUUGCCAAACGUCGGAGCUCUUCUACCUCUAUAAUGAUCACGCAGAGCAGCAAGAACAAAAUGCCAGUUAAAAUGCAUUGUCAAUGAAGUAUCAUCUAGAGAAAUGAGGCGGGACAAUAUCACUCAAUCAUCGAAGUAGGAGAAACCAAUCAAACUGCUACUUACGGGAGGGGAGGGAUGUCAUAUAGAACCUCAUCCAUGCCAUAUCACCUUUAGCACAAAGUUUUUAACAACAAAGAAAAUAGCUCAAUCUAAGAGCCAGUCUUUUUUUGACGAAAUUUACGUUAGAUUUCAUAUGUAACUUACCCAGACCCAAUCACCUCAUGGAAUUCAAUCCAAACAAUAGAAGACGACGAGCAUAAAAACUUAAAUAAACUCACGUUGAAGCAAAAUAUAACUAACAAAUCCUACAUCAACUGGAUACAGCAAAACUAUAACUCAAACUAGCAGAAAUUGCAGUUGAAGCUAUUCAGAAGCGCAACAAACUGGACAGAAACAUGUUAAGGAACUGAACUUGCAAUAUCUCUUUAUUACAACUUUAGGUCACAACCCAUGAAUCAAACUCUCAGUCAACAACACUCCAAAUUAGUCUCCAUUUGCAUUCACAUUUUCAUAAAAAAAACAACAGAACCACUCAAACAAACAUGUUCAAACUCAGAAAACCAACUCAAAGCUCAACCAAGCAUCCCAAAAUUGUUUAGUGAUGUUAAUAUUUACUUCUCAGGUAUCCAUAAAUCGAUUCAAACAAACAAGACAUUUCAGCUCACACAAUAGAAAAAUAGGAGAGUUUGGAAGUGAACCUAAAAAUGAACUUUCGAUUAAUGCAAUUUAACGAUUAGAACGAUUCUCAGAGGAAGUGAGUCCAAAUAGAGAUUGCAAUGAACUCACGAAUCAACAGCUAAACGAACAGCGUUGGAGCUGCUCAAAAUCAAUAGCACUCAGUCGACUUCCAUUAACUCAAAUUAAAAUCCAGAAAAUGAACUCAGCCUUCGAGCUCAAUCCAAACUCAUCAUGAAAAAUGAAACUUUCUGAACUUCAAGAUGAAGAGAACAAAGAGGCUCAGAUUAAAAAAACGAAAAUGAUUUUUUUUGUAUUUUUCUUUUGUAACUGGAAUUAAAUCAAGAUGGUUUCAAAAUAAAUCAAAAAGAAAAAGAAGCUUUCUUAGAACCCUAUUUCCCAAGUGACCUCUGCUUCUCCAAAAGAAAAUCCCUCAGAAUCAUCCCCCUUUACAAAAUCGGAUCCGGUCCUUUUUGAAAACGAGCACCUAAUGAAUGUGGGGCUCGGAUUGAAUGAUAGCAAUCCAACGCCUCACACUCAUCCAACGAUUGUCCUCCAGAACCUGCUCGAAUUGAAUGAAAUCAAUCCAACGCCUCACACUCAUCCAACGAUUGUCCUCCAGAACCUUCCAAUCGCGUGAUAUGGUUCAAAAUCGGGCGAGUGAGGGGGGGGGGGGGGGUAAUAUUUGGUGUCAGAAACCGUUACACCUAUGGAAGGAGGAAAGAAGGGAGAGACGCGUGAUGCGAGAUUGGAUUCACUCGCCUGAAUUUGGACUGAAUUAGGGCUUGGUUUGGGCAAGAGAGAUGAUUGAACAGUACUAUGCGCCGCUUUUGGGUCUUCAGGAUUUAGGUCUAGGGUUCGCUUGUUUUGUGUUAUUAGUUAUUUGGGGAUGGGUCGGGUUUAGGGCUGACGGGCGGGUGAGUGGGGUAAUUUGGGCUGGACCUGGAUGGGCAGGCGUGGGACUUUGGCUGGGAGGGGAAUUGGGUUAAUUCCGAGCCCAAUUUGAAUGAAUCUCCUUCCCAAAUUCAUUUCCUUUUUCUUUUUUUCUCUUUUUUCUUUUUCUUUAAUUAAUAAAAUCCUAGAAUUAACUCCUAAAUUAAUCUAAAUUAUAAAAUUAAACUAAUUGUCUAGUCACAAUAAUUAUAAAAUUCCUUAGUCCUAAAUUAAAGGAAAAAAUCAAUAGACUAAAAUUAAAAGGUGUAAAAUGAGCUAUUUUGUGAUUUUCGUUUUUAAUAAAAGAAAUAAUUGCUAAUUAAUUCCAAAAAUAUAAAAUCAAACCUAAUUGUGAUGCAUGGUAUUUUUGGAUUUUCAUGAUUUUUUUAAUAAAAAUGAACAUGCACAGAAAAUGCAAAUAAUUAGCACGAAUUUCCACAAAAUCCUAUAAAAUUGUAAAAAUUGUAAAAAAUUGUUUUUCUUGUAUUUUAUGAGAGUAAUUCACAUAGGGCAAAAAUCACGUGCUCACAAAACCAAUUCAAAAUUGAUGGAUAUCUAUUUAAGCAUUUUGGCAUCACACUACCAUCAUGGCUAUAUCAAGAUGAACAGUACAUGAUACUCAUUAACCUAAACAACAAAUUUGCAUUAAACCCUUGAGAAGAUGAAACUCAUACACACAAUGUGACUCAUCAGAACAUCAACAUGCAGUAUAAAGCUUUAUAACAUGCAGUACAAAUCCUUUAACAUCCUAUAAUCUUACAGAGCUUUCAAACAGAACAAAUUCCUACAAUAUUCGAUCCUACUGGGACACAUUACUAUAUACAUCCAUAACUAAAUUCUAAUUAGCUAAAAGGAACAUAGAUGACAGAGUAAAAGUAACAAGAAUAAAAUCAGCAAAUAUCAAUCACUCCACGCAUUCAUUAUGCCAUUUUUGAAGUAAGAGGCAAACGAUCCACAUAUUCAUAUUCAUAAUCGAUAACCAAGAGAUGUUCAACUUACAUACCUGGAUACAAGCAAACAAAGCAAAGGAAUAAAUCUUUGAACUUGACAAGGGACAAACAAGCAACAUAAAACUAGCAACAAAAAUGCAGCAGUAAUAAUCAACACCAGCUUCAGAUUAAAUCAUUUUUCUUGACUCCAAAAUCACUAGAAAUCGAAAAAAGAGUUCCCCUUAAACUUUUGUGAAAGAAGGAAAGAGUGAAAGGUUGAAUACAAGCAUCAAUAUUUUCAGAAAAGAAUUAUUAGCCGUUUGCUAUUUUUAGGUGUUGUAAUCUCUGCCCUAGGUUUGAAUGAAAAGAGCCUUUUAUAGAAAGGUUCUAGGCAGCAAAACCUGAUUUUCUUAAUUCACUCUCACCUCAAUUGAAUUUGCUCUUGUUCAUUUCAGUCCCUAAAUUUUAAGCAUGUGUGUUAAACCUCCCAAUUCCCACCUUUCUAGAUAGUUAGGGAAGAUUCCUUCUACUCAAUUCUCCUAACUACCCCUCAAAAGGUUUGGUAAUUACUUUAAACAUUAACAGACUACCCCAAAUGCCUUUGGGCUUCUGCUCUAACAAGCUUCAACAGACUUUUUGGGCUUCUUGCACUAGCAAGCCCAAUUUCAAGUCUAAGCAAACAAAUUCACAAGAAAUCCACCAACCAAAUUCUGAAUCCAACUAACAUAAGAUCUUCUAACGAAGUAGAAAUAAAAGGAAAGGAGUAAAAGGAAAGAAGAAAAUUAACAAGUACUAACAAAGAUAUUAUCUGUACUAUUAAGCUAAUACUACCAAAUUAGUCGAUUGAAAACCCAUGUUUUUUAAACCCAACUGAGAUAAAGAGGAAGAGAACUAUACCGACUAGAUCGAUAGCUCAAAGAUGAUGGCAUUCGGCGAGAGGAACCUCAACCGCAUGGUGUGAACUGUAACAUUGAGCACUAGCCGUAAUUUCUUCAAUGGCUUGUGCUCUUUGCCAUAAUCCUCAUCACGAUUCAAGAACGAAGACGAAGCAGAAGCUCAAAGUAUUGGCUCAUCAAUGGUUAUCUUCACCAGAAAUAAGUUACCAUGGAAUGAAUCGAAAUCACAACCAAUUGACUAGUCGAUUCCCACAUGUUAUUUUCAAGAAGAUGCCAGGUGAGGAAGGAAUCAGAAAAGGGAAACUAUGUUGGAUCUUCUGCAAUCUUUGAAUUAAGAUUCGGAAAGAUUUGGUAAUUUUUGGAGGAAAUCAAUAGUGGAUUUGGAAUGGAAGGGGGUGGGGGAACGGAGGUUGUGUGGUCAAUUUUUGGUGGAGUUUGGAGAUCCACCGUCGGCAAUGGUGAAUUCCGGUGGUUGGCGGAUGGUGGUGAGAGAUAAGGUGUGAGGGAGAUGAAGAACAAGGUACUAUGUUGUCUCUGAAAGAUUUGGACAUUCUUAAACGGGUGGGCUGGGGCUUUAAUGAACGUUGGAUAAAAGAAACUGAAGGGCCACGAUUCACUUGGACUGGUCUACGACGUAGUUUGGACUUUGUACUUUGUACUAGAAUCUCAAAACCGCGGGGGUUCCCAUAACGCCGGUACAAGAAGUAGAAUGUGCAGAAUCCCUUAGCCAAAUUUCCGUCUUUAACUUCCCGACUGAUGCUUAGAAGAUCCAAAAACUUAUGAGGAGUCACUGUUCUAGGUGCCACUGGGUAUUGAUUUAUGUGAUUCUCACUAAAACCAGUGUAUCCCGGUAUUUCCUUAAGCAUAUGGGUUAGCUCAAAAUCAGCAAAAUAGAACACAUUAUGUGCUGGGUCCCAAAAGGGUAUCAAAACCUCAAUUAUAUCCUUUCUCGGCUUAAUCUCCAGAAGACCAACAAGACCUCCCAAAUCUUUUAUCACAGUAUCUUGGCUGACUUCCCCUAAAUCAUUCCACCACAUGUGGAGUUCUAACGGGAUUUCCUCGAGGACCGUGAAAGGUUCAUUUUCAAUCAUGCUCAUCCUACACAUUUAUUUAAAGUGAUUGGUUAAAAGACUGUGAUUUACUUUGACUCAAAAGAAAAAUACUAAUUUUUGAAAAAAUUGCAAUUUAAAAACAAAACACUUUCGUGAAUACAACCCUUCAACACCUCAAAAAAGAAGAUUUUAGGGCUGUGUUUGCUAAUCAACCAAAAUUUGAAAAAGGGCCUUAGGUGGAUAUUAUUGCAAAAGCAGCCUUCCGGUGCCCUUUUGGGGCAUUUGGCUAUUUUGGACAAGAACAGCACUACCUAAUUUAUUUUUGACAAAAUAGCGACACCUCAUAUUUUUUGGGUUAUUUUCGCAAAAAUGGAGUUGGACCCGAUGAGGGUUGCCUAUGUAUCGCACAUCCGGUGAGAAUCAAACUUGCGUAGUUCGGUCAAUUUUGACGCAACAGAAAACAUAAACACUUGAAAUGGUUUUUUUUUUCAAAAAUUUCGGCAGAGUUUCGGGAUAUUUUGGAUACCAGAUUUUUCACAGGUGGGUAAUUUCCUCUCUCUCACCUCAAUUUGAUUUUUCUCAAUUUUUCUCCCCUAUUCUAGAAGCCGGUCAACAUGCUAUCCGAGUCAAAUAAAUGUGCAAGUAGCAAGUAAAAAUGCAUCAGGAUGACCUUUUGAUUUUGGGUACACUUGUCCUAGACGGACCCAACCCCUGUGUUGAUUCCCCAAAAUCAAAUGCACGCGAUGCAAACAAGCGUUUCUACUAUGGAUCCGACAUGAGUCUAUGUUAUAUUAGGUUUGAAAACCUGGGUUUAUUUGUUCUAGACCUGGCUUACCUGAGUGGACAACUUGAGCCGGGGGGGGGGGGGGAGGUAGCGUACCGAGNNNNNNNNNNNNNNNNNNNNNNNNNNNNNNNNNNNNNNNNNNNNNNNNNNNNNNNNNNNNNNNNNNNNNNNNNNNNNNNNNNNNNNNNNNNNNNNNNNNNNNNNNNNNNNNNNNNNNNNNNNNNNNNNNNNNNNNNNNUGAUUUAGAAAACUUAGAGAGAUGAGGGUUUUGCAACAAUUUAUAUAUAGUUCAACAAUAUCAAAGCGGUAAAAGGUAACAUUUAACAUAUUAGGCCCAAACAUGUAAAUAAAACUAGAUAAUAAAUAAAUCCAAAUAUAACAAUUAUUCUAAGCUUGAAUUCUUGAACCCUGAACCAGAGAUUCUGGGUUCGUAUCCUCAGCAAAGUCACUAGAGCUGUCACACCUCCUUUUUUUUUACCCCGAAAGGGUAUAAGGGAGUUUUUCCCAAUUUAAGUGACUAUCUAAACAGGAUUAUUUAUUUAUGAUUCAGAGUCACCAUUUGGGAUAAUUUAUGGUAUACCAAGUUACCAGUUUAAAAUCCCGAAUCAAAGAAAGAUCGACUCUGUUUUAUAGUCCACAAACACGAAAAUCCAGGUAAGGAAUUCUGUUAACCCGGAAGAAGGUGUUAGGCAUUCUCGGGUUCCAUGGUUCUAGCACGGUCACUCAACUAUUAUUAUUGGCCUAAUUAUCUGAUUUUAAAGCACUUUUAAACCUAUGUGCAUUUUUCAACUUUAAUACCACUUUUAUUUGUUUAAGGAAUUAUUUUAAACACAUCAUAAGCCACGCUACAUAAAAUGCACCCAUGAGUCAUGACACGUUCUAUUUAACCUUAUUGGAAAUUAGAACUGGGUCACAUGAAAUGUACCCCCGGAUUUAGUAGUAUCCAUGAUAAUUAUAUAAUUAACGUGCCUAAAGCAAACUACGGUGUUUAUUUUUAAUAUCUAAAUUAUAACAUAUGAGGGCCAUAGGUUGUGGGUUUAUUUGCGUAUGGCGCACCUCAAAUUAUUUUUAAAGGGAAAUAUUUGUAUUAUUCUUUUUAGGUGGCAAACUAAAGAUGCUCUUACUUUAAUCUAAUUUGAAAAUUGGGUAUCACAACCACGUUACGAGAACCGUAACCGUAGUUGUAAUAAUUAAUUACGUGCCUAACUUAAACUACGAGAUUCAUAAUUCUUGAAACUAAUGCGAGGUUUAAUGAGAGGCUAUGAAUUAACGCUAAGGUAUUAGAUAUUGAUGCACGCUUUUAAAAACCCCUUGUACCAUUUGGCCCAGGGAAACCUAUCACGUUAUUUAAAAGAUAUAAUCCCUACGAGCCAUUGAUCUCAAAAUCAAGCCCAAGCGGAAAGAGGCAUUCCCAAGCCUCAUUAUGGCCUUGCCCCAUCCUUCAGGCCCAAUGGCAACAACUGCCAAUUCAACUACAUAAUAAACGAAUAGCAUAUUUACAGCAGCAUACCCAAGAGGUGAACGAACUAAAUAAAAAUUCCAUUUAGGUUGAAACAUGGCACAAUUAGAAAUGACUCAUUUAACUAACUUUAUAUGCAUUAACCACAUAGUAAAAAAAUAGGCAUGAAAUAUUGCAUAAACCCCCUGAACUCUUAUUCAAACCAAUUCAAAAUUGAUUGAUAUCUAUUUAAGCAUUUUGUCAUCACACUACCAUCAUGGCUAAAUCAAGACGAACAGUACAUCAUACUCAUUAACCUAAACAACAACUUUGCAUUAAAUCCUCGAGAAGAUGAAACUCAUACACACAAUGUCACUCACCAGAACAUCAACAUGCAGUAUAAAGCCUUAUAACAUGCAGUACAAAUCCUUUAACAUCCUAUAAUCCGACAUAUCUUUCAAACAGAACAAAUCCCUACAAUAUUAGAUCCUACUGGGACACAUUACUAUAUACAUCCAUAACUAAAUUCUAAUUAGCUAAAAGGAACAUAGAUGACAGAGUAAAAAUAACAAGAACAAAAUCAGAAAAUAUCAAUCACUCCACGUAUUCAUUAUGCCAUUUUAGAAGUAAGAGGCAAACGAUCCACAACUUCAUAUUCAUAAUCGAUAGCUAAGAGAUAUUCAACCUACAUACCUGACAUCAAACAAAUCAAAGGAAUAAAUCUUUAGACUUGACAAGGGCCAAACAAGCAACAGAAAACCAGCAACAAAAAUGCAGCAGCAAUAAUCAACACCAGCUUCAGAUUAAAUCAUUUUUCUUGACUCCAAAAUCACCAGAAAUCGAAAGAAGAGUUCGCUUUAAACCUUUGUGAAAGAAGGAAAGAGUGAAAGGUUGAAAACAAGCAUCAAUAUUUUCUGAAAGAAGUAUCAGCCGUUUGCUAUUUUUAGGUGUUGUAAUCUCU